AACUUAUAUUUAAACCCUUCACACUUCUUCUCCUUCAUUCGUCCCUCAUUCUUCUUUAAUCUCUUUCUUUAUAGUAGAGGGAAAGAGAUUAUUGGUAAGAUAUAUAUAUAUACAGUCCGUCAUGUCGAACGCUAAUCUUCAGUUCAACCUUACCGCCGUCACCGCUACUUCCAAGUCCCGCUCCACCCUCUUCUCCUCCUCCGGCGACCACCUCAACCGUUUCUGUACUUGUCUUCCGAAACCCGUUUUGCGGCCACAGCGCCGCCGCUUAGGAAUCCGGGCAACUGAGGGUUGGCAGCCGCCGCAGGAACGGAAUAAGCUUCAGGUGGCGGCGUUGAACAACGUCCUCCAUUAUCCAUCCAAGCUGAAAAUCGCGGUGGUGGGGUUCGGAAACUUCGGGCAAUUCCUCGCCAAGGCUUUCGUCCGUCAAGGCCACACCGUUCUAGCCCAUUCCCGAACCGAUUACUCUUCCGAAGCUCACUCCAUCGGCGCCUCCUUCUUCUCCGACCCCCACGACCUCUGUGAGCAGCACCCGGACGUCAUCCUCCUCUGCACUUCCAUCAUCUCCACCGAGCCGGUCCUCCGCUCCCUCCCCAUCCAACGCCUCAAGAGAAACACCCUCUUCGUCGACGUAUUAUCGGUGAAAGAAUUCCCCAAGAACAUAUUCCUCCAGCUCCUCCCUCCCCAUUUCGAUAUCCUCUGCACCCACCCCAUGUUCGGCCCGGAGAGCGGCAAAGACUCCUGGAACGGCCUCCCAUUCGUGUUCGAUAAAGUCCGGAUAGGCAACGAGGGGUGGAGGGCGGAGAAAUUCCUGGACAUUUUCUCCACCGAAGGGUGCAGAAUGGUGGAAAUGAAGUGCUCGGAGCACGACCGGCACGCGGCGGGGUCGCAGUUCAUCACCCACACCAUGGGGAGGGUGCUGGAGAAGCUGCAGCUGGAGACGACGCCGAUUAACACCAAAGGGUACGAGACGCUGUUGAAUCUGGUGGAGAAUACUGCUAGUGAUAGCUUUGAUUUGUACUAUGGGCUCUUCAUGUACAACAAGAACGCCAUGGAGCAGCUGGAGAGGCUGGACUUGGCAUUUGAGGCACUGAAGAAUGAAUUGUUUGGGCAUUUGCAUGACAAGUUGAGGAAGCAAUUGUUCUUGAUGAAGAGGGAGGGAUCAAUGGAGAGGCCCCCAAAGUUGUCGAAGUUACCACCAAACAAGGGAAAGGGAUAUGCUUUGCCACCACCUUCACCUCCUUCCAAUUCAGAGAUAUUGCAGCCUCAAAACCAUUAAUCCAGCUAAAUCACUAAUCAAGUUGUUUAUGCUUAUCUAUUGUAUACGUGAUUAUAUAUAUGGUGAUAUGGAGCGUGAAUAAUGUACAACUAGCUCCAAAUUUAUCAAUUUAUAUAAAUAAGUAAAAAUGUCA